rnacentral:tRNA from 1 species
UCUCUGGUGGCUCAGAUGGUAAAGAAUCUGCCUGCAAUGCAGGAGACACAGGAGACCCAAGUUCAAUCCUUGGGUAGGGAA